UCUUUUUAGGGCCGCACUUGUGGCAUAUGGAGGUUUCCAGGGUUCCCAGGCUAGGGGUCCAAUCGGAGCUGUAGCCGCCAGCCUACUCCAGGACCACAGCAAUGCCAGAUCCAAGCCUUGUCUGAGACCUACAUCACAGCUCACGGAAACACCGGAUCCUUAACCCACUGAGCAAGGCCAGGGAUCAAAUCUGCAUCCUAAUGGAUACCAGUAGGUUUGUUAAUUGCUGAGCCAUGAAGGGAACUCUGGCUUCAACUUUCUAUUCUGAGGUGUACUGGAAGCCUGUGGAAGUGUCCACUGACUCCUUAUUGACUUGAGGCAAAUUGCCUAAGUUUUCUAAAUUUUAUUUUCCUCAUCUGCAAAAUGAGGAUAAUUAUAACUACCUCAAAAAAGUGUUUUGGAUAUUAGAGAAUCUGUAGUAAAAAACUAGUACAAGGUGCAUUUUAAAGACUCCAACAAUGGAAUAUAUUGUUAUAUUGUUCUACUGAUUAAUGUUAUUUAGAUUUAGUAAUCUAAAUAUAUUAGAUUAAUUUAAUAUAACAUUAUUAGAUUAAUAUAUCUCAUUAUUUUAUUAUUGAUGAUGUAAAAUAAACCAGAAACUUAGACAUCAUUCCAAAUUCUUCCUUCUUCCUUAUUCACCCCCUCAUAGCUAAUUCUUGAAAUUCUACUUCUUAAGUUUCUGUUUAAAUCUAUACCUUUUUCCUUCCUCUCCAUCUCUACUGCUACAACCUUAAUAGUUCUACACACACACACACACCUUGUUGCUUUCUCAGCAUGACACAAUUCUUGAUCCUCUCUACCUGGCUCAAUGUUACGCAAGUCUCAGUCUUUAUCUGGGCAUCACUUCCUUCAGACAGGUCUUAGCUGAGUAAGGUGCCUUGUCUCAACAUCUGUGUGGGCCCACAGUCUAGCCCAUCAGAGCCUGUAUCACACAUGCUGUUUUUUAUUCCUCUGUCUACCCUUUUUUUCCUAAAAGUUCAGUGAAGACAGGAAGCAAUCUCUGCUUCAGCACAACUCUAGAGCCUGAAAUGGAGUAGAUAUCCAAUAUUUAUACCACAUGUGAGCCAGAAACAAACAAUAAUUAAACUCUUAUGAUGAAGUUUGCUUACAUGUAUUUUAUAGCAAAUAUAUGUGAUAUGUACAAUAAUGCUGUAUAUCCCUUUUCUGAAUAUCUGUAUCUCUAUACAUCUAUAGUUAAGUACAGAUAAAUUAUGUAUACACACAUAUACUUCUCUGUAUUUAUCUAGCAAGUAAGCAAAUUAACCUACCUACACACAAGUUACCUACAUUCAUGGUGGAGCUUUUAUUUUAGUAUCUGACCAUCAUAAUCUCUGGACUUCUACCUGAUAUCAGUGUACCUAUAGUGCAGAUGAGAUAAUGGAGAGGAAAUGCCUUCUCUUAAGAACUCAUGGAAAAACUUGACUCCAGAGAGAGACUUCUAUGUCACAAGAUCAGAUGAACUAUUCCCCAAGUUUUUCUUCUUCAUUCCAUCUCCAAUAUCUAUCUGGUCCAUCAUGUCCUCACCUCCUGACUAGACUAAUACAGCCGUCUCCAUAGUGGUAUACAUUCUCAUUUUAACCCUUGGCCCACCUAGUUUCCACACAUGACCAGAGUGACCUUUUUUAAAGAAAAUGUGAAUCACAUUCAGGCCACUCCUCUUCAACUUAGAAUGCAUCAAUGGCUUCUCAUUUUUAGGGAAGCAUACAAAUCCCUCAAUAUGGGCUAUAAAGUCCUAUAAGCUGUUUUCCUUUCCAACAUCACCUCCCUUCUCUCCAGACCUCACAAUCACUGUCGAGAACUCUCUGCUAUUCUUUCCUCAGUUUCUUGAAUAUACCAUGCUCUCUUCUCAACUUUGGGCUUUCAUAUGAGCUGUUCCUUAUUCCUAGAACUAAAUUAAUUUCCUCAUCCCAAGCCCAUUUUGCCUGCUUCUUGUUUCAUUUCCAGCUUCCUCUAAGAAGCUUUCCUUCUAAAUUUUCUACCACCAAGCCUUGUCAGGAGCACCAUCACCUUCUGAGACUCCAUAGUCCCUGGUACUUCCCCCUCUCACAAACUUGUCACAUGUGAUGAAUGUCUCAUGCAAUGUCUCAUUCACCGUCUGCCUUUGGGCUCCAUGAAAGAGUACAUAGCAAAAUAAAUAUUUGCUGAAAUAAUUAGGUUACACAUUUAAGCCAAAACAGAGGCAAUCCAGGGGAUAAGCCCAGAGUCAAGUCUCACCACCCACCAGGAGGUCCAUCCCCUUCCAUCUCACCGCAUCAAUCUCAUUCAGGGCCUUCCACUGCUCAUAGGGGACAUCCAGGGCUUCAGCUGUCUGGAUAGUCCUCUUCAUGUGGCUGGUCCACACCUUCAGGGAGCUGAUGGCCUGGGACUUAAUGAAGUCGGCCAAGGCAUAGGCAUACUGGGGAGUGGGAGUACAAAGGAGGAGAUGAGAAAGAGAGAUGAAAGAAGACAAGGUGGUCAUGAGAAGAAGUUCAGAUCUGCCACAAAUGGUAGAAUGAUGGUGAACAAACAAGAGUAGAGUUUAAAAGUUUCCAAUUUAUAAAGAGUCAUAGUUUUGACCAUGUGACCAAGGAUCAAAGGAAUAGAAAAGAACAUGUAUAUUUGUGUGUGCGUGCACGUGUGUGUGUGUGUCUUCAUUGAUGCUUGCUCAUGGAAUCUUCUACUCAAUUAUUCAUUCAUUCAAACAGCCCACUUCUAACAUAUGUGGAGCCUGGGAUAAGAAUACAAGUGGAUGUACUCCACUCAUAGUCCACCAUCCUUCUUUCCCAUUUCUGCUCCAUCCCGCACUUAUAGUUUCCUUGAAUACAUGUAUAUGAAUAAUUUAGUCACUGGACCAAGCUCUGUCCACAUUAUAUUUCCACCAACCCCUGUGACCCACAGUGGUUCCUUGGCCACCCUUUGCCUAGGGGUGAACAUUUCUGUCACAAUGGCCUUCUCUCCGGUGAAUAGAUUAUGGAAAAGGUAAACAGAUUAUGGGACAUUGGCCCUAGAAAAAGGUUCUGGGAAGGAAAUUCUAGGGUUCCAGGUACUCUUAGUAUGGUCUAGAAGUGUGUAGAGAGUGGGAUUUGGGGGACAUUUCCCUUUGACCCUGUAAAUUCUCAUUGCUUGAGUAGCGUAACUGGUACUCAGGUUUUAAGGGCAUUCAAAUAUUUACUGAGUGUGUGUGGCCAUAUGCUGGGCACUGGGGUGUCCAAUUAUCAAGAUACAGUCAAUCUAGUGAGGGAAACCCUGACAGGACCAAAAGGAAACACAAAGGCCUGUGGGAGGCCAGAGGAGCAAGUGAUUCACUCUUCUUCUGCAUAGAGGUAUGCUAUUAAGGAUCAUGUGUGGGGAAAAUCUGUACAAAUGUACAGAUAUAAGCAUAUAUAGGCAUUGUGUAUACACAGCCUGAUAAUGGAUUAUGAGUCAGCAAUCAGUGUGCUCUAGUGGAGGGAGCCCUUGACUAGGAGACAGGAGAUAGGGCUCAAACUGUUCCAGCUCCCUUACAGGUCCUUGUGUACCCGGGAACAUGUCCCUGGCCCUCUCUGGCCUCAUAUCUCCUGCCUAUAACAUGCAAACAGCAUUAGCUCACCCAGCCUGGUCUCUGUGAGUGUCACAUUAGAUAGUAGACAAGGAACUCGCAGAGUAUACCAUGACACACAGUAGGUGAGAGCUACUGUGAUUGAUUGUGGGUAACGGUUGAUGGGAAAGUGCUUUGUAAACCAUGCAUGGUGCACUGUGGCCAUGAGCAUAAAGGUUGAUGCCAAGCAUGUGCAUGUACAUGUGCACACUUGUGCACAAGAGGUAUGCUGUGCGGAGAUGGUUAUAUGCCCAAACCGGGCACUGAGCUGUGUGGGCAAAGCCAUGGCCAGCCCUAACCAAGACACUCCUGGCUGUAGGUGGUGCCAUGAGGCCUCCAGCAGCCUCUGAUUCUGCUCUGAGGAGCAAGAGAAGUGAGAGUCAGAGGUCAGGGUCCACCUCAAGGGGAUGCUGCCAGUCUGAAGGUGGCAGAAAUGGAUCCAGGAGGACCACGGCCUCUGGUGUGAUGCCUGGCCUGGGAUACUGACAUCUCGGCAGUGGGGGAGGCUGAUGGGCAAGCAUGAAGGCCUGGUUUUCAGUCCUGACUCUAUCCUUUUCUGGCUGUGCGACCUGGGGCCUCUCUCUGUUUCUGCCUGGGCUCAGCUUUCUCAUCCAUAAAUCGGUGACAGUAAUGCUCACCCCACAGGCUGUUGUGAAGAUUAAAUGAGGCCACACAUGUGGAAGCAGAUAGUGCUGUGAAUGUGCAGAAGUAUCUAGUAGAAGAGGGUGCGCCUUCUCUUUUGCACCUCAUUCCUCACAUGUCCCGCCCAAGCCAUCCUCCCGGCAAGAACAAUACCUGUGCUAACAAGCCCAGACAAGGGGCCAAACACAGGAAAAUGUGUCACUUUAUUUAGCCAGCACCCAUAAUGUGCAGGUCACUAUACUUAGCUAGAAAGAAGAGACUCAUGACAUGAGGAUCAGAGGUGGGCCAGAACUGGGAGAGAUGGAGUUCAGGGCAUUGUGGCCAGCCUGGGAGGGCAGGAGAGGACAGGGGAGGGCUUCCUGGACUAGACCAUGGAGCAGCAGAUAAGUCCUGGAAGGGGUAGGGGAGGGAGGGCAGGAAAGCCAUGGUGACCAGUGGGGAACAAGUGCUGAUCCUGUGAUGACCUGAAAUAUGGGUUUGAGAAUGAAGCAUCAGGCCUGAGGAAGGGAAGAGAGGAUGGACUUGAGGGUGGGGUGUUUUAGGACAGCUAUCUGUGCAAGUCAUGGUCACCAGCUGACAGAGGGGACAGAGGAGGGCAGCCCUGGUGGGGGAAACUGCACAAGCAAAAGCACAGAGCCAUGAGAAAGAUGAGGGGACCAGUCAGGCUCCCUGUAAUGGGGCUGGAGGAGCAGCUAGAUCUGGGAAGGCCUGGAGUGCCAGGACCAAGCCAUCAGAUUUGCAGAUACUGUCAGCACAUGGGAGCCCAUCAAGAAUGGGUCAAGAGUGAGUGGCUGAUGAAGUGGAAGAGCAGGAGUGCCUAGAACCUGCUUUUACCCUGUUACUGAGUCCCUCCAUCCUCAGAACCCAGGCAGUGGCCACCCCAUCCACCCGCAGCCAAUCUGGCCCAGCUCAGCCAAUGCUUCAGGGUCACUGGGCCAUCCCUACCUGCUUGCCCCGAGGUGAGAGGCCAGAGUCACCUCCGAUGCGGCCUCUGAGGUUGAGUUCACUCUCACCGUGCCGGCAUAGGUAGAUGGAGCGGGGUGUGACAUGGAUGUUCAUGAGAUAGUAGACUGUGCGGCUCUGGAUGUGGUCCUGCACGCGGUUCACCAUGUAGCGUGUGCCCACGUCGAAGAUCUUGAUGUAGGACAAGUGGCUGGGCCAGCCCAAGUGGGAGCAAGGGUAGCUCAGGGGUUGAUGGUGAAGAGGCUAGUCCCAAGAGUAAGCCCCAACCACACCUCCUGCCUUCAAUCCUCCACCACAACUCAGCUCUCACGUGCCUUUUCUCUAAGAAGAUGUUUUGUAUUGCCCUGUUUUAGAGGUUGGUUCCUGGACACCCCGAGGAGCUCACUGCCUGCUACCAUCUCCCUUUGUCUCCUUGGUCUCAGGUUGAGCCUCUGUUUUUACCUUCAGUCAUCACACUCCAGGUAUCUAGGGUUCUCUCUUCUGUGGUUUACACUGCUGACAUAUUCAGAAAGAAAAAGUAAUCCUCCAUGUCCCUGACUGCCUCCAAUAUCUCACUGGCAGCUCCUGACUUGUCCAUUCCUUCAUCGUUUCAAAUCUUUUUUUAAAUUUAUUUUUAAUUGUUAUUUCCCCCAACACACUUUUUCCCCACUGCACAGAAUGGGGACCCAGUUACACAUACGUGUAUACAUAAUUUUUUUCUCCCAUUGUCGUGCUGUGUCUUAAGCAUCUAGACAGUUCUCAGGGCUACACAGCAGAAUCUCAUUGUUAGUCCAUUCCAAAAGCAAUAGUUUGCAUCCAUUAACCCCAAGCUCCCAAUCCCUCCCACUCCCUCCCCCUCCUCCCGGUCAACCACAGCCCUGGACUUCCUGUGUGGCUCACAACAUACUUUAAAAUCUUAAGCCAAGCUCUGUCCCUCUAUUAUUUGAGCCUCUGCUAUGAUAUAUUGUACUUGACACUCUGCAAGCAGCUAUCAGACUGUUUCUGUGUAUGCACAUGUCUCUGUGUUUAUGCCUCUCUUACUCAGAAAAGGGAGUGGGUUGGGUUCUUUCCUUAUCUGCCAUGUAGUCAAAAAACAUACCCUCCUCUGUUCUAAGCUUUAUACUUGGGGUGGAGACUCAGUGUCUGUCCUUUGGGAACUCUUAGGCCUAUUAGGAAUAUAUAUUUGGAAACACAUACUCAAUGCUCAACACCCAUUCUUAGAGUAGUCACUCACUCUAAGGUGUGCCAAGUACAGGAGCAUGGGAAUACAGAGGUGUUCCACAUUAGUGAAGAAAUUGUGGUCCUUGCUUUAAGCCCCUUUGUUAUCCCCUCAAUUCUGUACUCUGUCAUGAACUAAUAGGUAUGAGUGAUAAACUAUUCAACAACCACUCUGCAGAGGAAUUGGGGGGUGGAGGACAUUGACUAAUCAGAAGACUAGAAUCAUAGAGCAAGAUUCCUGAGGCCCCUGUUGUGCCACACAUUAAUUCUUUGGUUGCUGGAUUGUAGGGAGUUCAGAGGGAUCUCUGGCAAGAGGUGGGGGAAUCUGAGGCAAUGGAAUGACACACCAACACUGCAGAGGAGAAAGGGAUCCCACACCCUGGAAAGUCACCUACAUGGGGGAAAGAUCAAACGAACCAGAGGAAUCUCCAGAUGCAGAGAAGAGUGUAGCAGUAAGUUGGAGUACGGAAAAGCCGAUCAAGAGCCGAACAGACCAUCUGAACUACGGGCACAGUCACCAAAAAUUGAGAUGCCUGGGUGGGGUCUGGGCACCGAAUCUUCGGCUCCAGAAGUUAGUCCCCGGGAA
rnacentral:lncRNA from 1 species